rnacentral:rRNA from 1 species
GGGGGGAUAUUGCACAAUGGGCGCAAGCCUGAUGCAGCCAUGCCGCGUGUAUGAAGAAGGCCUUCGGGUUGUAAAGUACUUUCAGCGGGGAGGAAGGCGAUAAGGUUAAUAACCUUGUCGAUUGACGUUACCCGCAGAAGAAGCACCGGCUAACUCCGUGCCAGCAGCAGCGGUAAUACGGAGGGUGCAAGCGUUAAUCGGAAUUACUGGGCGUAAAGCGCACGCAGGCGGUCUGUCAAGUCGGAUGUGAAAUCCCCGGGCUCAACCUGGGAACUGCAUUCGAAACUGGCAGGCUAGAGUCUUGUAGAGGGGGGUAGAAUUCCAGGUGUAGCGGUGAAAUGCGUAGAGAUCUGGAGGAAUACCGGUGGCGAAGGCGGCCCCCUGGACAAAGACUGACGCUCAGGUGCGAAAGCGUGGGGAGCAAACA